rnacentral:rRNA from 1 species
AUUGAACGCUGGCGGCAGGCCUAACACAUGCAAGUCGAGCGGAUGAAGGGAGCUUGCUCCUGGAUUCAGCGGCGGACGGGUGAGUAAUGCCUAGGAAUCUGCCUGGUAGUGGGGGAUAACGUCCGGAAACGGGCGCUAAUACCGCAUACGUCCUGAGGUAGAAAGUGGGGGAUCUUCGGACCUCACGCUAUCAGAUAAGCCUAGGUCGGAUUAGCUAGUUGGUGGGGUAAAGGCCUACCAAGGCGACGAUCCGUAACUGGUCUGAGAGGAUGAUCAGUCACACUGGAACUGAGACACGGUCCAGACUCCUACGGGAGGCAGCAGUGGGGAAUAUUGGACAAUGGGCGAAAGCCUGAUCCAGCCAUGCCGCGUGUGUGAAGAAGGUCUUCGGAUUGUAAAGCUCUUUAAGUUGGGAGGAAGGACAGUAAGUUAAUACCUUGCUGUUUUGACGGUACCAACAGAAUAAGCACCGGCUAACUUCGUG